CGUAACUCCGUGCCAGCAGCUGCGGUCCUAGGGAGUAUCCGUGUGUUAUCCGGAAUUAUGGGGCGUAAAGAGUGGCGUAGGUGGCAGAGUAUGUCUGGAGUGAAAGCGUGUGGCUCAACCACAUACACAUUAUGGAAACUGCUCGGCUAGAGGACGAGAGAGGUUAUUGGAAUUCCCAGUGUAGGAGUGAAAUCCGUAGAUAUUGGGAGGAACACCGAUGGCGUAGGCAGAUAACUGGCUCGUUCCUGACACUAAGGCACGAAAGCGUGGGGAGCAAACGGGAUUAGAUACCCCGGUAGUC
rnacentral:rRNA from 1 species